UUUCAUUAUUCAAAUAUAUAUUUUUAAAUUAUGUACAGAGAGCACAGCUUAUCAAAAUCUGUAAAGUAACAACGAAAAUAAAUUUUUGUCCAACUCCGCCAUUUCGAAAAUAAUGGUUCUAAGGUUUUAGGGGUUUGUCAGGGACAACAUUAUUUUUCUACUCUUAAAAUUUAAAAUCAAAAAUGAAAAAGUAAUAUCAUGGGCAAAAAUUGUUUCCUUGAAUAACAAAAUCAGCAUAGUGCUGAACUUCUCAGCUUACCGGACCUGCCAUUGUUCUACCACAAAUUAUCGAUUAAUAUCAGUGAUGUGGGGUUCUAAAUAUGGUCAGAAAACAUCAAAUUUAAAUUAUCUUUCAGAAUCUGUGCAUUAUGUUGCCUUUUAAAUGUUAAAAACUGAAUUUAGAUGAUGUUGAAUACACAUCCGCCAUUGGUGUCCCUGGUCACCCUGUUCCACUAAAUGUAGUAUUUUUCAAAAACUAGCCUAUGGCGGUGUCUAAAACAUUUACCAAAAUUUACAAAAUUGUCUACACUAUUAGAAAUCAGAAAGUUUAAAGCUCUAUGACCUCUGGCAUUUUGACAAAUUACUUCCGAGUUUCGAACUUAGAUUUUUGAGAACCCAACAUUUCUGAACGAAAUCAUUGCUUCUUGGUCAAACUGUCAAUCAUAUGCUUUCAAAAGUUAUUUAUUAUAACCAAAAUUUAAUUUUCUUUCCAGAUAUGUAUAUUUAAUUGCAAUUUAGAAGGUGUUAAAUUACAUUUUUUGUUCUAGAAUGAAUUGCCAUUCAUGCUGCUGAAGGUUACACUAUGGAAAUUAACGAAAUAUUACUAAAAAACAAGCCUAUGGCGGUGUCUAUUUCAAGAUGAAUAAUAAACAAAAUUCAAUUGUCUAUUUGUUGAUAUAAGUCGUAAAGCAUGAUGACCUCUGGCAUUUACGAGGUUUGGUGUUGAAAACUGCAGGCCAUGAUUAUCACCCACAGUUGCGCACAGUUUUCUGUACUGCUUUCGCUAGCAAACGCCAGUGCUUGCAUUUGAUUGGUCUAACGGCGUUUCUUUUGCUAAUUGAGAACACUCUUCAGUUUUAUUUUAGUUUCUGUGUAUUUUGUUGAUUUUGUUGUCGGGGAUUUGGUGGUAUUAGGCAAGGUAUUAGGCAUUUUUCAGUCACACGGUUCCCGUGGUAUUAUGGUUCAUUGCUGGCAGUGGUUCAGGAGGCAGUGGUUUGAUCCCAGCUGUAGAACGUCACCUGCAGGAAGUAGCAUUAUGAUGGCCAGCCACGUGGCGCGUGUAUCCAGCCACAUUGUCCAGAAAUCAUCACAUCAUCUCCAGGUCACUGGUCGCGGGUGCUCGAGCUGACUGUGUCUUCAACGGCUCCACGGUGACCAGCGCCGCCACCGCCGAGACCAUCCGAUUCCUGAAAUGAUAAUGGCCGUACACGAACAAGAGGCUCUAUGCAUUCAGGUGCGAGUCAAGCGCCAUGCUCAGAGGCGUCAUCCGGAGAAGGCCGCACAGUGCACUUUAGGCUGAGCUCGGGUGUAGUGCGCGCUGACGGAUAGGAUGAAAUUACGGGCCGGCCAUCAGAUUCCAGUGCGGGGAUCAAGAUGGUCGGAGCCGACGUGGCUUGGUUGAUGGUGUGUCAGGGUCAGGGGUGGAGAAAUAGGCCGAGUUGGGGUUGCACGGGCGCAGCAAAUCCGCCGCCGCCCUAGCGGUGACCUUGACCUCCGCCGUCUGGUGCGGCUCCAAGGCCAAGCCGGCGCAGCCGGCGUGGAAUUGGGAAGGCUCGUGCUACCCCAACUCGGCACAAUUGUCCACCCCUGGUCAGGGCUGAUUGAAAGUGGAGGCGAGACGACCGGAUGUGAAGGAUACACCGAUACGGGUCUCGACGUCGUCUCGCAAUUUGUGCUAUGUAAUAUGACGGUUAUGCCGUGGUAUCAUUCACUCUCGAUGCGCUAAUAAGUAGUAAAUAGGACAGAGACUGGAAUUAAUAUUAUUAUAUUUGGAUGUAAGGGCCAGGUUUUGGCCAGCGCUAUAUUAGAAAUCGUGAGCGUGCUAGUUGCAAUCAAUCGCGCGCUUCUUGCUGAGCAUCUGUGAGCGAAAAAAAAAAUACCUUCUCUAAAACGUUCGUCGUAAAAUAUGUGUAUCUUUGGAAUAAGUUGUCAGAACAUGAAUGCAUUUUUGGUGUCCACUGCAGCUGCUGUUCUGGAACAGAAACAUACCGAGAUCGGCUGUGUAUGUACUAUGUACGCUGUGGCAAAAUCAAGCAGCCGGGCCAUGAGUCAAAAGCGAUAUGUGAAUUUAAGUUGAUAUAUUUCACUAUUUUAAACAACUAAACGCCUACGAUCACUGGAAAGUAAAUAAACAAUAGAUACCCAU
rnacentral:lncRNA from 1 species